rnacentral:rRNA from 1 species
UACGUAGGGGGCAAGCGUUGUCCGGAGUUACUGGGCGUAAAGCGCACGCAGGCGGUCUCUUAAGUUUGGUGUGACAGUUGGUGGCUUAACUGCCAAAGUGCUUCGAAAACUGAGAGACUUGAGGGCUUCAGAGGGACACGGAAUUCCGGGUGGAGUGGUGAAAUGCGUAGAUAUCUGGAGGAACACCGGUGGCGAAGGCGGCAUCCUGGACCGAUACUGACGCUGAGGAGCGAAAGCCAGGGGAGCAAACGGG